CAGAGCCCGUUAAUGGGUGAUGGCGUGCCUUUUGUAGAAUGAACCGGCGAGUUACGAUUUGAUGCAAGGUUAAGCAGUAAAUGUGGAGCCGUAGCGAAAGCGAGUCUGAAUAGGGCGUUUAGUAUUUGGUCGUAGACCCGAAACCAGGUGAUCUACCCUUGGUCAGGUUGAAGUUCAGGUAACACUGAAUGGAGGACCGAACCGACUUACGUUGAAAAGUGAGCGGAUGAACUGAGGGUAGCGGAGAAAUUCCAAUCGAACCUGGAGAUAGCUGGUUCUCUCCGAAAUAGCUUUAGGGCUAGCCUCAAGUGAUGAUUAUUGGAGGUAGAGCACUGUUUGGACGAGGGGCCCCUCUCGGGUUACCGAAUUCAGACAAACUCCGAAUGCCAAUUAAUUUAACUUGGGAGUCAGAACAUGGGUGAUAAGGUCCGUGUUCGAAAGGGAAACAGCCCAGACCACCAGCUAAGGUCCCAAAAUAUAUGUUAAGUGGAAAAGGAUGUGGCGUUGCCCAGACAACUAGGAUGUUGGCUUAGAAGCAGCCAUCAUUUAAAGAGUGCGUAAUAGCUCACUAGUCGAGUGACACUGCGCCGAAAAUGUACCGGGGCUAAACAUAUUACCGAAGCUGUGGAUUGUCCUUUGGACAAUGGUAGGAGAGCGUUCUAAGGGCGUUGAAGCAUGAUCGUAAGGACAUGUGGAGCGCUUAGAAGUGAGAAUGCCGGUGUGAGUAGCGAAAGACGGGUGAGAAUCCCGUCCACCGAUUGACUAAGGUUUCCAGAGGAAGGCUCGUCCGCUCUGGGUUAGUCGGGUCCUAAGCUGAGGCCGACAGGCGUAGGCGAUGGAUAACAGGUUGAUAUUCCUGUACCACCUAU
rnacentral:rRNA from 1 species